GACGAACGCUGGCGGCGUGCUUAACACAUGCAAGUCGAACGGAAAGGCCCUGCUUUUGUGGGGUGCUCGAGUGGCGAACGGGUGAGUAACACGUGAGUAACCUGCCCUUGACUUUGGGAUAACUUCAGGAAACUGGGGCUAAUACCGGAUAGGAGCUCCUGCUGCAUGGUGGGGGUUGGAAAGUUUCGGCGGUUGGGGAUGGACUCGCGGCUUAUCAGCUUGUUGGUGGGGUAGUGGCUUACCAAGGCUUUGACGGGUAGCCGGCCUGAGAGGGUGACCGGACACAUUGGGACUGAGAUACGGCACAGACUCCUACGGGAGGCAGCAGUGGGGAAUAUUGCACAAUGGGAGGAAGCCUGAUGCAGCAACGCCGCGUGCGGGAUGACGGCCUUCGGGUUGUAAACCGCUUUCGCAUGUGACGAAGCGUGAGUGACGGUAAUGGGUAAAGAAGCACCGGCUAACUACGUG
rnacentral:rRNA from 1 species